rnacentral:rRNA from 1 species
GAUGAACGCUGGCGGCGUGCUUAACACAUGCAAGUCGAACGGUGAAGGCGGAGCUUGCUCUGCUGGAUCAGUGGCGAACGGGUGAGUAACACGUGAGCAAUCUGCCCCUGACUCUGGGAUAAGCGCUGGAAACGGCGUCUAAUACUGGAUACGAGCUGCGAAGGCAUCUUCAGCAGCUGGAAAGAAGUUCGGUCAGGGAUGAGCUCGCGGCCUAUCAGCUUGUUGGUGAGGUAAUGGCUCACCAAGGCGUCGACGGGUAGCCGGCCUGAGAGGGUGACCGGCCAAACUGGGACUGAGACACGGCCCAGACUCCUACGGGAGGAAGCAGUGGGGAAUAUUGCACAAUGGGCGAAAGCCUGAUGCAGCAACGCCGCGUGAGGGACGACGGCCUUCGGGUUGUAAACCUCUUUUAGCAGGGAAGAAGCGAAAGUGACGGUACCUGCAGAAAAAGCGCCGGCUAACUACGUG